ensembl:lncRNA
UGAAAGGGCUGCCCCUCAAGGCCCAACGUCCAGCACAUUCCUGCCCGCCUUUCCUGGACAGAUUAUAUCAGAACCAGCUGAGUGAGACCAGAGGGAGAGGGGGCAGGGAUGGAAGGUGCCUCAUCUUGGGGCCACAAAGCAAGCUCGGGCAGGGGGCAGGGUUCAGACCACAGAAAUUUUCCUGCAGGGUUUGGUUCAAGACAAUUCUCUCCUCUGUGGCUGUUGAAUAUCAAGACCAAGCUUACAAAAUGAUGCUGCCAAAUUCCAAGCGGUCAUACAGAUGGAGCCAACGACAAAUAUUCUAGACUCCUUUUACCAGGAUCCACCAGAUAACCUUGUAAAAAAGUUCAUAGCUGCUGAACUACAAUAUGACUUCUAUCUGAGGCCUAGUAAAUCAACUUUCCAGAGAAGGCCUCUAACUGCUCACAUCAACUCUUCUCAGCUUGAAGCAGUUAGAUAAAAACUAUGCUCUUUCUUCUCUAACUGAAUUUAGGAAUACUUUAGAGGAGGAAAUAUUGCAGACAGCUAAGUUAGUUAGAAAUUAUAAGGCAGUUCCCUUAGCAUAAAAAAUAAUUGAGGUACAUUCAGUGAAGGUUAACACCCACAUACUUCCCUUAGGGAUGAAUAGCAGUGAUUGAUAUUCUAAAUAGACUUCAAUCAUUUUAACUGGAGACAAAACCAUCCCUAGCUACCCCAUUCCUUCCAGGAAAUUCAGGUACACUUGCUACAUGACUAGCUUCCCCAUUUGAUCUCCAUUUAAUCAAUAUUACCUGGGCAAGUGUGAGACCAAAGCAACUCCAUUUUGCUAAAAUCCACCAUUCCCCUAGCCUCUCAAAUUAAUGGUUAAAAUGUGUUUGCUCUGGAACAAAAGAUACAAUCUGUAACAAACCAAAGUUCCUAAGUUAAUUACUCAGCCAUCUGUUUAACCAGGAAAUGAACAUCCUGGGCCCGCUAUCUGUAGGAACCGUCUGUCAAUGUGCUGACUGUCAGUGCUGGGUGGUCGUGACCAUUAGUCACCAUGUCUGCUGACCAUCAAUACGUGACAGUUGCCCACUAACCUUUGUCCUUCUUUUCUUUUGUAAAACCUAUACAUAAUCCCCCCUUACCCCUGAUGAGUUCAGCCAAUCAAAAAUGUACACUUCAUGCUCGCUUAAUGUUAACCAAUCAUGUAACUGCUAAGUGGAAAAUCUCCAAACCUUGCUGUAACCUCUAUAAAAACCCUGCUAAUUUGGAACUCGGGGCUCUCAAUCUCGAUCCGCUGUGUCGGUGACAAUUGAGAGUCCCUGCUUAAGCUUGAAUAAACGACCCUCAUGUGCUUACAUCGGAAACGGCCUCCUGGUGGUCUUUGGGACCUUACAAUCUGGGCACAACA